ensembl:lincRNA
CGGAGUCCGGAGCACCUGCCUGCCCACCAGCCAGGAGCCCUCCGCCCGCUGCUGGCCUUUCCAGUCCGCGUCCCUCAGCAAUGAGCACACAGCAGAUGGCCUUCAAGGGGCUACUGGGCUGGGUGUGUGGUUGGAGCAAAGCCUGGAGAGCUGGGCUUGGGACAGGGGGCUGUGGGCUUCCUGGCCUGUGCCCCAGAGAGGCCCCCCUUCCUCCAAAGGAGCUGUCCAGGAAAGAUGGGGCUGAUUCCGUGUUCCCUGGACUUAGCCUGGACGUCCCAGCGUCGUCCUCGGGUGUCAAGACCUCGGCCACCUUGAAGCGGCCCACCAGCCUCAGCCGCCAUGCCAGCGCUGCAGGCUUCCCGCUCUCGGGCUCGGGCUCCUGGACCCUAGGCCGGGGCUACCGAAGCCCCUUGAUGGCUGCCAGCCCUGCAGAACCCUCUGCUGAGGGUCUAGGCCCUGAGACCACUGAGGAUAUCUCCAGCCUGCUGGCUGAUGUGUCCCGCUUAGCAGAUGGUCUGGUAAAACUCAAGGAGUGUGUGUCAAAUGAUGAGCUCCUGGAGGCCCGGAGGCCGAAGGCCCAUGAGCGCCUGGGGGAGGCCCUGCGUGUGCUACAUCAGGUCAUCUGCAAGUACCCAAUGCUGAACACCUUGGAGACACUGACUGCCGCGGGCAAGCUCAUCGCCAAGGUUAAAGCCUUCCAUUUUGAAUGUAACCUUGACUCAGACAAAAGGGAAUUUGAGAAAGCCCUGGAGACCAUGGCAGUGUCCUUCAGCAGUAGUGUGUCGGAGUUCUUUAUGGGUGAGGUGGAUAGCAGCACACUCCUGGCCGUGCCUCUUGGGGACCCCAGCCAGGCCAUGGAGAACCUUUACUCAGGCAGCGAGGGCUCCCCAGCCGGCGCCGAGGACUGCGAGGAAGGCUGCCUGCCCCCGGAGGAGGUGGACCUACUUCUGCAGCGCUGUGAGGGCGGCGUGGACGUGGCCCUGCAGUAUGCCAAGAACAUGGCCAAGUACAUGAAAGACCUCAUUGGCUACCUGGAGAAGCGGAUGGCGCUGGAGAUGGAGUUCGCUAAGGGUCUGCUGAAAAUCAUCCACGGCUGCCGACAGAGCGUGAUUCAAGAGCCCCACAUGCCCCUGAUGUCCAUCUACUCGCUGGCCCUGGAACAGGACAUGGAGUUCAGCCACAGUAUUGUGCAGGCAGCGACCACGCUGCAGGCGCAGACCUUCAUACAGCCCCUCACCCACCGGCGGCUGGAGCAUGAGAGGCGCAGGAAGGAAAUCAAGGAGUCCUGGCAACGUGCACAGCGGAAGCUGGUAGGAGCCGGGGUGGGGCAAGGGGACACGGAAGAGGGGUGUGGGGUGCGCGCGCGCGCGUGUGUAUGUGUGUGUGUGUGGUGUGUGUAUAAAAAAACACACAGGAUGGCUGCGCAUGCGCAGUGUCUUGCACAGGUGUGGGACACCUGGACUGCGCAUGCGCCCUCGUUGGUUCCUGCAAAGAUCUCAGAUCUAUCUGCCCUAGUUCAAAGAUUCACUGUCCAGAGGCCCCCAGAGCACGAGGGUUCCCAGGUUGGAGAGAACCUGGGGGUCACUAGCUUAAGUAGGGGGCUCCGGGAAAGUAGUCUCUUCUUGAUUCUCUCUGUGAUGCUUCAAAGGCCCUGCAGAAGAUGGGCGUGGUGGCCACAGCCUCUAUGUGACCCCAGUGCUCCUGUGGCUGAGACAGGAGGGUCACAGGGAGUUCCAGGCUAGAAUGGGCUGCAGAGUGAGUUGAAUAGCAGCGGGAACCUCACAGUAAGGCUCAGUCUCUCAAAAAAUAAAAAUAAAACCAAAAACACUUUGCACUAAGUGGCCCAGUCUGUACUCGAACUUGUGUCCCUCCUGCAUCAGCCUCCCUGGAGGGUGCUGGGAGGCCAGGGUGUGUGCCACCGGGGGCAGCCUUCUUUCUUUUUUUUUUUUUUUAACAGCCUUUUGGGUGACUCAUCCGAAAAGGCCUUCCCCUCAUCAGGGUUGUUUAUCACCGUUAUGGUCCUAAUUGUAUUAGUUCUUUUUGGGGUGGGGUGUUGAACCCAGAGCAAGUACAAGCUGCACCUGAGCACAAUCUAUUCUUUUCUGAACCUCAUCGUUUCUGCAGUCCCCAUCCGCCCCCCAGUUUCUGGCCAAGCGCUUCCUGAGGAGCCCCAGGGCUGUUGACUUCCUGUCUAGGCCCCCCCACAUUUCAUCUCUUGGAAGGAAGUGAAAUCAGCUGAGAUGUGAGGCGCCAGCCGCGUCUGCCGGGGCGCUGGCUGAUCGCUGGUGCUUCUGUGGGGAGCCUCAGCCUCCUCACCUGAGCAAUGGGCACCCAUGCUGCCAGCCGCAGUGGGCCGUGGGUCUCCAGGAAGCAAACACUGGUGGAGCAGGGUCAGAGCCCAUCUCCCCGUUCCCACACCCACAGCAAGAAGCUGAAAACAACCUGAAAAAGGCCAAGGCGAGCUACGUGCAGCGCUCUGAGGACCAUGACAAGGCCCGGUUUCAAGUGGCCAAGGAAGAGCAGGGCGCCACCCCACCUGGGGUGGGCAGUGCAGCUUCCAAGACACUGGACAAGAGGCGACGGCUGGAGGAGGAAGCCAAGAACAAGGUCAGGGUAUGGGGAUGAGACCGGGGGUGCAGAUUUCGCCUCCAGGCUUCGACUCAGACCCCAGCUCCUCUUGAGAAUACCCUUCCCGGUGGCACCUGUGGUGGUGCACAGCUGUCAUUCCAGCACUGUGGGUGGCUGAGGCAGAAGGAUCUCAAAUUCUAGCCCAGCCUGGACCACUUUAGCAAGACCUUCUCUCAAAAAGUAAAAAAACAAAACCCAAAAAAUCAGACUGGGAAUGUAGCUCAUGUAAAGGCCCAAGAUUCCAUUCCUAGGACCACAAAAUAAACACACAAUUUAAAAAAUGCCCCUCCCACCUUCUCCUGCCUGGCUCCUCCAGAGAAUUUUUGUUUUAUUUGACUAAUUAUUUUUGAUCUUAGGAACGUCUUUAUUCUUAAUCAAAGGGCAACACUUUUCUCCAGUCAGCAUCAAAUCUAUUUUACAGGGUACUAUUUUUGUUAACCACAAAACCUUUCAGAAGGCAGCUUUAAUUGAAAGUUUAAAAUUUGCACUUUCACACUAGAAGACCAUUAGUUUUAUGGAUUCAGUGGUUAAGAAGGCAAAAGUCCCAUAAAGGCUUCAGGGCAAGUGGAAUCUAAAUGAUUCAGAUCAGUAGUAUAGUGUAUCAAACCGGCCCCUUCCCUUGUAUUCAAAACCAGGUCAGUAGCGAUUAUUUGUGGUCAACUCAACUGCACAAGCAUGCAACCAAAUUUGAAACCAACUCCGCCUUCACGUUACUGUAAUUAAUUUAUGUUCGAGGCAGAGUCUCACUAUGCAAUUCAGGCUGGCCUUGAAUUUAUAAUGUAGCCCAGGCUGGCCUCGAACUCCUGGUGAUCCUCCUGCCUCAGCCUCCCAAGCCCUGGGAUGCUAGGCAUGCAGCCCCAAGCCGGCUCUCGGGAGGUUUUCCUGUCAGGCCUGGCCAGUAACAGACUGGCUGAGGCCUGAGCCCCUGGGCUGAGCCUCCCGGCCCAUCCUGACCCCCUUACACACACCCCAGGCGGAGGAAGCCUUGGCCACCUACCGCACGUGCGUGGCAGAUGCCAAGACUCAGAAGCAGGAGCUGGAGGACACGAAAGUGGCGCGCUGCGGCAGAUCCAGGAGAUCAUCCGCCAAAGCGACCAGACCAUCAAGUCGGUGGGUGGCGGCCGUGCUGCGCGCCCGCUUGGCGGGGGGUGGGGAGGGGGAGUGGCGGGGGACUGG